GACAUUGAUAAAAAAUAACGCACAAAUUAAUUACAAAGAAGAAAGGAAGAAAGGAUAACAAAAAGAGAUAUAAAGCAUUGAAAAUUCAAGUUUGUGUGCAUCGUUUGAUAGGACAAAUUGAAACGUACACAUAGGAGUAACGGAAUCAAUAAUUAUAAUUGAUCAAAUAA